GUUUCAGCAGCCGCGGUAAUACGGAAGGUCCGGGCGUUAUCCGGAUUUAUUGGGUUUAAAGGGAGCGUAGGCCGGAGAUUAAGCGUGUUGUGAAAUGUAGAUGCUCAACAUCUGCACUGCAGCGCGAACUGGUUUCCUUGAGUACGCACAAAGUGGGCGGAAUUCGUGGUGUAGCGGUGAAAUGCUUAGAUAUCACGAAGAACUCCGAUUGCGAAGGCAGCUCACUGGAGCGCAACUGACGCUGAAGCUCGAAAGUGCGGGUAUCGAACAGGAUUAGAUACCCUGAUAGUCCGCACGGUAAACGAUGGAUGCCCGCUGUUGGUCUGAAUAGGUCAGCGGCCAAGCGAAAGCAUUAAGCAUCCCACCUGGGGAGUACGCCGGCAACGGUGAAACUCAAAGGAAUUGACGGGGGCCCGCACAAGCGGAGGAACAUGUGGUUUAAUUCGAUGAUACGCGAGGAACCUUACCCGGGCUUGAAUUGCAGAGGAAGGAUUUGGAGACAAUGACGCCCUUCGGGGUCUCUGUGAAGGUGCUGCAUGGUUGUCGUCAGCUCGUGCCGUGAGGUGUCGGCUUAAGUGCCAUAACGAGCGCAACCCCUCUCCUUAGUUGCCAUCAGGUCAGGCUGGGCACUCUGGGGACACUGCCACCGUAAGGUGUGAGGAAGGUGGGGAUGACGUCAAAUCAGCACGGCCCUUACGUCCGGGGCUACACACGUGUUACAAUGGCAGGUACAGAGAGAUGGUGUUCUGCAAAGCGCAUCUAAUCCUUAAAGCCUGUCUCAGUUCGGACUGGGGUCUGCAACCCGACCCCACGAAGCUGGAUUCGCUAGUAAUCGCGCAUCAGCCAUGCCGCGGUGAAUACGUUCCCGGGCCUUGUACACACCGCCCGUCAAAC
rnacentral:rRNA from 1 species